rnacentral:tRNA from 1 species
AACUUCCUGGUGUAGUUGGUUAUCACAUCUGUCUAACACACAGAAGGUCAUCAGUUUGAAUCUGGGUGAAGACA